AGUUGAGGAAAUUGUGGCUGGACAGGCAGUGAGGUAGUUCUGCUGUGUCCUGCUGACAGUUAGCUGCGAGCCUAUUGACAUCUGAGCACCUGGAGAAGACAGGGCCCCCGUAGUCUGCUCUGUCCUGUGGUGAUGUUGGGGCAAGCUGUCCUGUUCACAACCUUUCUGCUCCUCAGGGCUCAUCAGGGCCAAGAAUUCGUGUCCAUUCUGAAGAAAAGGAUGGUCUGGGAGUUGUGAGGAGUCCCUGGAUGCUUUGGGUCUGGGUGAGACUGCCCAGAUUCUUCUGAAGAAGUGGUUGGUGUCUCAGGAAAGCCUGUCCAGCUGAGGCCUUCCAACAUACAGACAAAAGAUGUUUCUGUUCAAUGGAAGAAGACAGAACAGGGCUCACACAGAAAAAUUGAGAUCCUGAAUUGGUAUAAUGAUGGUCCCAGUUGGUCAAAUGUAUCUUUUAGUGAUAUCUAUGGUUUUGAUUAUGGGGAUUUUGCUCUUAGUAUCAAGUCAGCUAAGCUGCAAGACAGUGGUCACUACCUGCUGGAGAUCACCAACACAGGCGGAAAAGUGUGCAAUAAGAACUUCCAGCUUCUUAUACUUGAUCAUGUUGAGACCCCUAACCUGAAGGCCCAGUGGAAGCCCUGGACUAAUGGGACUUGUCAACUGUUUUUGUCCUGCUUGGUGACCAAGGAUGACAAUGUGAGCUACGCUUUGUACAGAGGGAGCACUCUGAUCUCCAAUCAAAGGAAUAGUACCCACUGGGAGAACCAGAUUGACGCCAGCAGCCUGCACACAUACACCUGCAACGUUAGCAACAGAGCCAGCUGGGCAAACCACACCCUGAACUUCACCCAUGGCUGUCAAAGUGUCCCUUCGAAUUUCAGAUUUCUGCCCUUUGGGGUGAUCAUCGUGAUUCUAGUUACAUUAUUUCUCGGGGCCAUCAUUUGUUUCUGUGUGUGGACUAAGAAGAGGAAGCAGUUACAGUUCAGCCCUAAGGAACCUUUGACAAUAUAUGAAUAUGUCAAGGACUCACGAGCCAGCAGGGAUCAACAAGGAUGCUCUAGGGCCUCUGGAUCUCCCUCGGCUGUCCAGGAAGAUGGGAGGGGACAAAGAGAAUUGGACAGGCGUGUUUCUGAGGUGCUGGAGCAGUUGCCACAGCAGACUUUCCCUGGAGAUAGAGGCACCAUGUACUCUAUGAUACAGUGCAAGCCUUCUGAUUCCACAUCACAAGAAAAAUGUACAGUAUAUUCAGUAGUCCAGCCUUCCAGGAAGUCUGGAUCCAAGAAGAGGAACCAGAACUCUUCCUUAAGUUGUACCGUGUACGAGGAGGUUGGAAACCCAUGGCUCAAAGCUCACAACCCUGCCAGGCUGAGCCGCAGAGAGCUGGAGAACUUUGAUGUCUACUCCUAGUUGUUAGCAGUGGCCUCAUCCUGUGUCAUGCAGCAUCAUUGACUUUGGAAGGAAGCACACUGAAGGAUGCUUAAGUCCGUAUGUGUCCGUAGACCAGCUUCUAGGCUGGAGAGAAUGUAGUUUAUUAACAUUGAAGGAUGCUGAGUCUGUAUGUGUCUGUGGACCAGCUUUUAGGCUGAAGAGAAUGUAGUUUAUUAACAUUGAAGGAUGCUGAGUCUGUAUGUGUCUGUGGACCAGCUUCUAGGCUGAAGAGAAUGUAGUUUAUUAACAUUGAAGAAUGCUGAGUCUGUAUAUGUCUGUGGACCAGCUUCUAGGCUGGAGAUGAUGUAGUUUAUUCGUGGUUUAUAUUUUAUAUUUUAUUAUCUUUCUUUUUAGACAGGAUCUGACAUAGCUUGGCAUGGCCUGAAUUUGCUGAGUAGCCAAGAAUGACUUUAAACCUUUGGUCCUCCUGCCUACACUUCCUAGGGUUUGGAAUCACAGUCAUGUAACACUGUGUAUAGCUUGGAAAAAAUUUCUAACAGCCACUGUAUGAUCAAGGUCAUUAAAAAAUAUCACCCAAGCUUAUAGAUCAGAUAGGAAUGGGUAGAUAGGUUGUAUUGGCCAGAUUUUGAGCCAUUGUAAUCUAUGAUUUAUGUUUUAUUUUAUUUUUAUUAUCAAUUAUAUAAUUUAAAAUAGUAUGGUGCUGUAUAAAUGUGAGGUAGAGGAAGAUCCCCUUCUUCUGGUUCUCUAAUAUGUUAUCUACCACCACCCCACCACCUCCAAGACCAUUAUGGGAUGCCUGUAUUCUAGACCCUGCCCACCUUCCAAAGCAAGUACAGUGAGAGAUGAUGGUGAUUCAGAGGAAAAGGAAGCACAGGUCCUCUUUGAAGCUGUGAUGUCUGGCUGUGAGCUGGCUGGCAGUUCUCCCACAGAGGCAGGAACCCCUGAUCACCCCACAUCGUUGUUUCUGACCGGUUGUUCACAAGGGAAAGUGCAAAGAAGUGAAAUUAGAUGGUGCAGUUCAAACAGAUCUCUGGAUCCAAGAAUCACCCAGUGUGUACAUCAUCCUGAUAAGAGGUGGUUAACACCAGUGUUGCCCACAGUAUGAUGGUUGGCUUACAAAGUCCUAUCACAGAAAUCUAUCUUGUCAUUGACAUCUUUGUCUUCAGCCUUACCUUCUUCAUGACAGUUUUUCACUGUAUAGCUCUGGAUGGUCUGAAACUCACUAUGCAGACCAGACUGGCCUCAAGCCUAGAGUGAUCCACCUGCUUGUGCCUUCCAAAUGCCAGCAUCAGUGCCGUGUACUACCACACCCAGCCGAUUUUGUCUUCUUUGUAGACAUCUCUCAGAAACCAUAGCCUUCCAAAUCUAGAAUCCCGAGCAGUGGUCCCUGUGAUACAUCUGGAGAAAGGGCUCACACCAUAGGUAUCCAAGUUCAGAGUUCUGAGAAGUGUUUCCCAUGAUAUACCCUGAAGGAAGGGCUCAAAUAGUUGAUUGCUGAAGAUGAGGCAGUCAACUACUGCAUACCAUGCUCUCUCUCUUUAGACUAGCUCCUUCAGCAGUGUAGGAUUAGCAAGCCCAAGGCUGGAUGAGCUCUGGAAAGCAACAAGUAUGAACUGAGAGAGGACUCACUCCAAAAGUGUUUUUUUUUUUUGAAGAGAGGGUCUCACUAUCCCACCCUGGCUUUCCUGAUUCUCACUGUGUAAACCACGCUGCCUUCAAACUCACAGAGAUCCUCUUGUCUCUGCUGGAAUGAAAGGCAAACAGCACCAUUCCUGGCUCAGAGUCUCAGUCUUGUUCUUCAAGAGUGUCAUCCUGUGCUUAUCAUGGGAAUGUGACAUGAAACCUUAUUCUCACUCAGAGGCAAUGCCAGUCCUUUGCCUGGAGCAAACUGAUAAGCUUCUCUAUACUCAGUGUGUAUGGGUCACUGAUUAAUAUUCACUAGCAUGGCUGUUUAAAUUCUGCUGGAAGUGGAGCAGACUCUCUGGCCAGAUGUCAGUCUUGUUCACACAGAGAUAGCAGAGAGCCAGAAGACGAGGCCUACUCCGCCUCAUGAAGGGCAUUCAAGCCAUGGGCUCAUUUAUGCUUCACCUAAUCCUUCAUCCCUGUACAUGCCUAGCAGGCUGGCAUCCUCCUAGGUAGAAAUACAGACAGAGCACAUCUUAAAGCACGUGCCAAGUAAUGAGUAUAUUCAAAAAGAGUCUGUGGUCUUGAGGCAGUUACUGGGAGUGGAGUCAAGGUGAUUGGUAAGCAGAGACAAUAAGAGAUGAUGGAGAAGCUGGGUGGUGCUGGCACAUGUCUUCAAUUCCAGCAUCCAGGAGGCAGAGGCAGGUGGACUUCUGUGAGUUGGAGGCCAGCAUAGUCUAUAGAGUGAGUUCCAGGACAGAUAAUGCUGCACAGAGAAACCCUGUCUCAAUCCCUAACCCCAGAAAAAUAAAAGAAAUGAUGGAGAG